AUUGAACGUUGGCGGCAGGCCUAAAACAUGCAAGUCGAACGGUAACAGCGGGAGCUUGCUCCCGGCUGACGAGUGGCGGACGGGUGAGUAACACGUAGGAAUCUACCUAGUAGUGGGGGACAACCCGGGGAAACCCGGGCUAAUACCGCAUACGCUCUACGGAGGAAAGCGGGGGAUCUUCGGACCUCGCGCUAUUGGAGGAGCCUGCGUCGGAUUAGCUAGUUGGUAGGGUAAUGGCCUACCAAGGCGACGANCGGUAGCUGGUCUGAGAGGACGACCAGCCACACUGGGACUGAGACACGGCCCAGACUCCUACGGGAGGCAGCAGUGGGGAAUAUUGGACAAUGGGCGCAAGCCUGAUCCAGCGAUGCCGCGUGUGUGAAGAAGGCCUGCGGGUUGUAAAGCACUUUCAGUAAGGGAAGGAAAAGACCGAGUGCUAAUAUCACUCGUC
rnacentral:rRNA from 1 species